UGAAAAAAAGCCGAUACACUGUGGGUGGAGGAAGCAAUCAAACAAGCCGUUUCAGUAGGAAGCAAUAUCACACUAUCAAAGAAAAAUGAACAAUACAAGUUUAGAAUCUUAACGAAGCAAAAAAUAGAAAUUAAAAUUACCUUUGCAAUUUAUAUCUCGUGUAUCAUUGUAUUAAAAUAAAAUAUAUAUAACAAAAGAGUAGAAGUUGAAACUUGAAAGCACAUGAUUAUAAUAAAUGGUGUUGGUAUUUUUAAUCAAUAAAAGCCAACAUGAACGAUGAAAAUGAGAAUGUGUUAGCUACAAAUGCGGUUUAAGAGAAUAGUCACUUAAAAUAUACAUGGUUGUAUUAAAUACUGAACAUGGCUAUGUUUAAAUGCCUAAAUUUGGGUGCACAUGCAAUUCAUCAUAUAAUAAUUCCACUCUUAACUUCUGAUUUUAUAAGUAGAUCAAUUUAGUAUACUAUUUUCAUUAAAAUUUCUCUAAUUAGCUUCUGCUUUUAUAAAUAGAGCAUAAACUCAUUUCUUUUUAUAUAUUAAUAUACCACAUUAACCGGUUUAUAUUUAUAUCAAUGGCACAUAAAAUUUGGGAGAAGAUUUCUGAGGACUGCUUUUGUUUGCAAAUAACAUCAUUCAUUCUGUGGGGCAAAAAUUAUGAAUGAGCCUGCUUAUUAAUUACCUUUUUUAUUUUGUACUGAAGUAGUUGCCACUAGUUCAAAAGUCGAUAUAUAUGUAAUAUUAUUAAAAUAAUAUUUUUACUUUGUAUCAUUUAAAAAUAUUUUUAAUUAAUGCGGUGUAUAUGAAUAUACACAUUUAAUUAGUUUUAUUUUUAAUAAAAUUUUCCUAAUUUAUUUAUUCAAUUUUAAUCACCUUACAAUUUAUUCAUUGUAUUAUAUCUACUGAUCCAAUUUUAAUAUAUUGAAUAUUUGUUUUUUAAUCAAAGUUCUUUACUUGAUUAUAUCUAAUGUUCCAAUUUUAAAAAAUUCGAUUAAAAUUUUUGAACUACAUCAACUUAAGAAAUUCGAUCCCAAAUUCAAAUUUUUCAAUACCAAUAAAAAUCAACUUACUACAUCACCACUUGCAAAAUAUAACUCUCCAAACAUUACUAUGGAGUAAACCAAAAAAAAAAAAAAACAGAACAUAUAUAGUUCUCGUAGACACCGAAACUUGAGUUCAAUGAUGAAGUAUCGUAAUUGAGCCCAUCAUCCCUCAAAGAAUUCCAGCAAAACCAAAGUAACAUGCAUACAAACAAGCAAAAUAGAAGGAAUUCAUUCAAACUUGUGCUUUAAAAUUAAGUUCAAUCAAUUGCUAAAAUCUGUAGCCCCUGAAAUAAGAAGAAUAUAGAAGGCUUGUAUGUGAAUACAUGGCAAUAUGACAGCAUAGAAAAUGAAAAAGGCUUGGCUCUUCAACAAAAGAAAUAUGUAGAACUCAGGCGAUCCAUAACACAGCUUAAUCUAACAACAUCUUUUACUAAUAGCCUAAAAAAUUCAUAUGAUGAAUUAAGAAAAUGGAAAUUAGCAAUUUAGCAUACAGUUCAUCAUAAUCAUACAGUUCUUAUUAUGAUACGAUGAAACAUUUAUGUCCAGUCAAACUCUUGAGUGUUGUAAUCUCACAACAGUUGAUGAUUGUUUUAACACUUACCCAAAUUAUAAUGAUUCAAGUAGCUAAAAUUAAAAAAAAUACUUGUAAGCACAAAUUCUUAUUUACUUUACCAAAUAGAAAAUGAAUAACUAAAAGACCGAAAAAAGAAAAUAAUUUCCAAAAAAAAUUAAAACUCCAUGCAAAAAAUCAGCAUGUAUGUGUUUUACUGUGUUUCUCUGUAUUUGAUUUUGAAGUCUUACAAGUUUAGAAGAUUGGAUAAGUUACCAAACCUCUUGAAUUGCAACUAGAGCUUCAGCUUGCUAACGAUUUAUGUCUGGAGCAAAUCGGUAGCUAACAGUCCAAUACCUACAAAAUUUCACAUAGAACAUCAAUAUACUGGAACAACAGUGGUCAGAUAUACCAGGCGCAAGAAAUUUAACAACUGUGCUAAUAUACAAAAUAAUUUACACUUCUAAGCAUUUGACUAGUAUUAAAAUCAAAUUUACACUUCUAAGCAUUUGACUAGUAUUAAAAUCAAUCACACAUUAUUUAGAUAGGCCUGAAAUCUCAAAUUUUGCAAGGCCUGAAGCCACAAUUGUUAUGCCCACAACGCUGAAACCAGAGAAAAACAAAAAGGCAUUGGACUACCAGGUCAUAGAUGACAUUUCAUUAGAAUAUCAUCAAUGACUAGGACAUAGAUGACAUUUCAUUAGAAUACAAACUACUACAGCAGCAAUAAAAUUUUAUCAGUAAAAUUGUUCAGGUUGCCAAAAUGAUUAGGACAUGGUCAAGCAACAUGACCUAGUGCCUCCAUAAUAACAUAAAAGCAGCAGCUCGGCUGGUGCAAUUACAAUAUCCUAUCUUAUCAGUAAUUUCCAUUGCUAUUAAAGUUUCAACCACAAACAAGAUUAGGGGACUGCUAAAUUUUCAAUAUCCUAGUAAAGUAUAUGAGAUCACAUAUGCUAAUUUUCAAUCAAACCCCAGUAUUAGGGGAUUGCUUCAACGAGACAAGGAAUAGGUGAGCAAAUAAUGGAACUAAAAAGUUAAUUCAAACCAUGGUUUCUUUGAAAAUGCAUUAGCACUAAGUUGGAUUGAGAAACAUACUACGUACUUUAGUUUCAAAGGUUAGAGAUUUGUGCUUCGACAAAAAUUGUGAGACAAAAUAAGAGAGAAAGAGAGAGAGAGAGAGGGCUUACAGAUCCAGAGAGAGUGAAGAAAAAACAGUGAAUAUAAAAUAAAAGAAAAAAAAAUCUGGAGAGAGUUACAGAACCAAAAAAGAAAGAUUUAAGUUAAACCAAAAAACAAAGUAUAAAUUUAGAGCUGCAAACAUUAAAGCAGUUUGAGAGCAAAAGAGAGUUAGAAAUUGGUUUAC
rnacentral:lncRNA from 1 species